rnacentral:rRNA from 1 species
ACCUGAUCCAGCAACGCCGCGUGAGGGAUGACGGCCUUCGGGUUGUAAACCUCUUUCAGCAGGGACGAAGCGCAAGUGACGGUACCUGCAGAAGAAGCACCGGCCAACUACGUGCCAGCAGCCGCGGUAAUACGUAGGGUGCGAGCGUUGUCCGGAAUUAUUGGGCGUAAAGGGCUCGUAGGCGGUCUGUUGCGUCGGUAGUGAAAACUCAGGGCUUAACCCUGAGCCUGCUUCCGAUACGCGCAGACUAGAGGUAUGCAGGGGAGAACGGAAUUCCUGGUGUAGCGGUGAAAUGCGCAGAUAUCAGGAGGAACACCGGUGGCGAAGGCGGUUCUCUGGGCAUUACCUGACGCUGAGGAGCGAAAGUGUGGGGAGCGAACAGGAUUAGAUACCCUGGUAGUCCACACCGUAAACGUUGGGCGCUAGGUGUGGGACUCAUUCCACGAGUUCCGUGCCGCAGCUAACGCAUUAAGCGCCCCGCCUGGGGAGUACGGCCGCAAGGCUA